AUCAAUUGAUUUCAGUUAGUUCGAAACCUUAACGAUCACCAAAUGGGAUGAAAUUUUGCAGAAAUGAUCUACAUAUAUACAUCUAAAUAUUGAACGGUGGAGAUGUUGAUAUGUGAUUGAAAAGUUGGUCUAAUGCUUGAUCCCUCAUAUAUGUCAAAAAAAGGGAUCCCUUAGUAGAAGGGCCCUGUAUACAUAUAUAUAUGUAUAUAUAUAUAUCCAGAGUGGGGACACCACUUUGAAAUUAAAUUGUGGGAUUCCUUAUUUAGCUGAUGUUUAAGUCACAUUUUCACAUCUCCACCAUUCAGAAUGUAGAACAUAUUAUGUAGAUCAUUCCUGCAAUGUGUCAUCCAAUUUGGAGAUGAUUUGGGUACCGAAUUGAAUUAAGCGAAUUAAAAUAACAAAAUAUGUUAAAAAGGAAUCCUUCGUGUAAAUCGUGAUUAUGGAAGCUCAAAUGAUCUUUAAAUUAGAUGAAAUUUUGCAAGAAUGAUCUCCACACUAUGUUCUGGACUCUGAACAGUGAAGAUGUAAGAAUGUGACUUAAAAGUGAGCCAAAUAAGGAGUCUCAUACUUUAAUUUCAAAGUAGUGUCCCACUCUGGAUAAGAACUAUAUAUAUAUAUAUAUAUAUAUAUACACACGCACACACACACACACAAUGUUGAUCAGGUAAGGACCUUCUUACCUAGCUAAGGUAUGGAUUUCUUUAUUCGACCCACUUUUCGAUCACAUUUUCUCAUCUUAACCGUUCAAUAUUUAGGUAUAUAUGAGUAGAUCAUCUAUACAAAUUUUCAGCCAAAUGGAUAAUCGUUAAGGCAUUCAAAACUGUGAUUUAAAGUUAAAUGAACGUACGGUUCAUGAUGAACAGAUUCGGUUCGUUCAUUGAUUUAAUACAUUUUUGAUACCUUAACAAUAAUCAAAUUAGCUGAAAAUUUACAAAGAUGAUCUAAUCAUGUAUAUCUAAAUACUGAACGGCUAUAAUGAGAAAAUAUGAUCGGAAAGUAGGCCAAAUUAAGGAAAUCCGUACCUUAACUAAGGUAAGGAGGUCCUUAUUUGAAAAGGACUGUAUAUAUAUAUACAGUCUUUCUUAGGUAAUGAUGUUCUUAUUUAUUCUUAUGGUGCGGAUUUCCACUUUAAACUCAUUUUUCAAUCGAAUUUUCAUAUCUCCACAGUCUAGUUUUUAUAUACUAAUGUAUAAAUCAUCUAUGCAAAAUUUCAGCCAAUUUGGUUAUCAUUAAGGCACUCAAAUUCAAUUAAACCAAUAGACGAACAUAAUUCUGUCGAACUUGAACCGUUCAUGUUUAUAAUAGAAAAACGCAGUUUUGAAUAGUUUUGAAUGUAUACAUUAGUAUCUAAAGACUAGACGGUGGAGAUGUGAAAAUUCAAUUAAAAAAUGAGUCUAAAGUGGAAAUCUGCACCGUUAGAAUAAAUAAGAACCUCCUUAGCCAAGAAAGCUAUAUAUAUAUUUUGUAAAAAAUUAUUUAUAAAAUAACUCACACACCGUACAUAUGUCAAUGAGAUUUGAACUCAUGAUCUCAAACUUUGUUAGUUAACGCCUUAAUCAAGCAGACCAUGGCUUACCGACAAUAUAUGACACGACCCACCCCGAAUUUUACCCUGAAACCCAGAGUAAGUCGUGCGGGGACCACCUCCAAGGAAAAUUUACUGAAACGAUUAAGAAAAUCUCCCUUGCAGAUGGACAACCCUAACUCGAAAAUUUCAUAUUACACUCUUAAUUUAACACUUCUGAACAUCACAUAAUAUACAA
rnacentral:lncRNA from 1 species